ensembl:lncRNA
CUCCACAUGAGAAAAAGCAUGAUGGUUUCCUUUCUGAGUGGCUUAUUCCACAGCAUAUGACUAUAUCCAUUUCCCUCAAAAUAUCAUUGUUUCACUUUUCUUUUCUUUUUCUUUUUUUGGUUUUUCAAGACAGGGUUUCUCUAUAAACAACUUUAUCUCAAGAAGACACGGUAUCUGAACCCAUAUCAUAUUUAAUAAGUAGGCACAAAGCAAUCAGGCAGUGAGAAUAACAUUAACAUAUAAACUUAAAUCUAGGCUGAAUAGGAGAGAAAACAGGAAACAUUUAUUUUUCUUAAGUUUGGCUUACUUAACAUGAUGGUCUCUGGUUCUGUCCAUUUUCUUAAAAAUGUCAUCAUUUCGUUUUUCUUUACAGCUGAAUGAAGUCACCCACUAUGUACCACAUCUUCUCUACCUACUAAGUGCUGGUGGACUCUGGUCUCAGAGUAAUUUUUACAAAACUGCAGCAGUAGCCAGGGAAUGCGUGCAUCUUUCUGCUGUUGCUGUAGCAACGGUAUGCCUCUGGUACACACCCAGGAUGUGUGUGAUGUAGCUGGACCACGUGGUGGCUCCAUUUUUAUUCAUGCUUUAACCAAUCACUUUAUACACUGUUACGGGAUUUCCUGCCUGGUCCUGUGGCCGCCUUGCCCCAAAUGAACACAUGGACAAUAUAUUAUUAUAAACUGCUGGCCAGUAGCUUGGGCUUCUUAUUUGCUAGCUCUGUCUUAAUUAUUAACCCAUUUCUAUUAAUCUAAGUAUUUCCAUGUGGUUUUAUCUUACCGAAGAAGGGUCCGGACCUCUUAACCCUUCCUCUGCUGCAUGGUGACUGCUGUCUGCCUACACUUCCCAGAAUUCUCCUCCUCUGAUAGCCCCGCCUAUCCUUCCUGCCUGGCUACUAGCCACACAGUGUUUUAUUCAUCAGAGAAACAUAUACACAGAAGGACAACCACAUCAAUACACACGCUUGGAAGGUAUAUCCAUCUGAGAAAAACCAACAUUGAAUAUUAUGUAAUACAAUUUCAUGUUGGACUACAAUGUUAUAAAAAGAAUAAAUUUGAGGAGGGGGAUGGAGGUGGACUUGGGAAGUUAUUAUGGAAAUUGCGUGUCCGGGACUGUGGGUGUAGUUUGGUGGUGGAAUGUCGGAGUCAUGUGAGAAUUCUAAGUGCUUCUGAGAAAACUCCAAGAAAACAAGAGUUUUUCUGUAACCUCGGUUUCUUCAAAACACAGAAUGGUACCUGGAAUGUGUUUUUUGUGCCCCUCCCAGGUUAGGAGGGAGUCUGUAUCGGCUGUUAUUAUUCAUGUGCCUCAAAAACACGUUUUUGACACGUGUGGCUUGUCUUUGUGAUUGUAUACUCUGCUUAAGGGACUCCUCUUAACCCUCAGAGCAUAAAUUGCCUGGUGUUCUAUUGCAUGAGACUUCAGUCCACCUCGUUCUCCCAGGUUCACACCAACAACUAGGGAGGUAAAGAGUAGAAUGCUUACAUAGCUGUAAAAGGCCACAGCCUCGAUAUACAGUACUUCACAAAUAAGUCAAUGGAUUAGUCAGUAGAUAAGGUAGGCAAAUGAGAAGGGGUAAGUGAACACCUCUGGCUGAGAGACCCGCGAGUGUAGACGUCUGAUGAUGCGAAAGCUCUGGCCGUGACUGAGGAAAGCAGGUGUGGAUGCAGCAGAGAAACCACCAGAAGGGAAAGUUAAGUGUGCAAAUGACAGAGGCAGCCAGAAGUCAGAGCACAUAGAUCCCCUUUCAGAUCCCCUUUAUGCGGUGUAGAAAGGUUAACGGAAAUAUAACACAUGUAUCCUGACAUCUUAGAAAAUGUCCCAUGUUGGGAGACACCUGUGUAGGAGAGACGCAAUCACCCUGCCCCCGUGCCCAGGACAGCCCUCAUGAGCAUGCUCAUGCGUUUCCUCCCUGAGCCAAGCCGCCAAGUCUGCCCACAGACACCUGACCCAGAGACACCAGUGAGGAAAGGUCAGCGCAGUGGAGUGAGCCGCCUGAGCCAAUGGGACCUCGGGAGGGGGUACAAAGGCAGGUCUAACUUCCUUAGUAAACCAGUCUGCAGCAUGCUGUGCUACUCACUGACUCCCCGUGCCUGAGUGGUUGGUGCUGCGUCUUCUCACCCCUCCCCCAAGGGGUGUCCGAGCAGGGUCACCUGCAACACACCUGGAGGAAGAUUUACUGUGUGUUUGUGGCAUUAUUGUUGGUCUCUCCUCAGGACACAUCAAAUAAGGCCCUGCAUGUGUGAAUUGCCCAUUGUCAGAUGCUUGGUAAGAGGUUUGCCUGUGCGCCCUCUGUCGGUCCAGCUCUUUAGCUCCCAGGCCAAAUGAUACUUCAGGAGGCUCUUCCUUCAUCCAUCCCAUUCCAACCCCGUGAGUGUCCUGAUCAGCGACCUGCCAGAUCAAGGCAUUCUGGUUAUUUGAAGUAAUUUCUGCUGCCAUUACAACCCUCUCUCUAGCUUGAUGCUUGUGGUUGGGCGCUGCUGUCUGGCCACACCAUCUCAUCCUACAUACUGUAAUCAGUCACCUCCCCAGCGGCAGAGCUCACUGUGAGUCUCUCCACCGCCACAGAGCCUGUCCGGGCUGCUGGCACCGAACACCGAGAGUAUUUCAUCACAUCUAGUGCACAGAUGCCUCCUUAAGCUCCCUGAAAGACCUAGUUGGCGGAGGGGGGGGGGGACUCACACAAAUGAGCUUCACAUUCCCCCAUGUCUAUGCCAAGAAUAUUCCAACAUGUCAGUUUGAUGGAAUGCUGAACUCAAAGUUCAGUCAUCCAACGGAGGAAAAUGCCAGGGCCUCUUCGGCUAUGCUG